UUCCGGCUCGUCCCCAUCCCACCCCCCGGCAUUCCCGGCCGAUUCCAGGUGGGAUCGUUCCCGGGAAAGGCGAUCUAACCGCGUCCCUGCUCCGCUCCAUCGCUCGGGGAAGGGCACGGCAGAACCGCCCGUUCCCUGCGGGACUGUGCUCGGCUGCGGGAGCAGCAGCCCCCGGAUUCCCUCCCUCACAACCCCCCGGGAUCCUGCUCCGAGCAAUUCCCAGCCCUCAACUUCUCUCCCUCAUUCCUUACGGAAUUCCUGGCCGGCCUCCUCCCUCAGAGGGCAGACACACCGAAGGAAUCUCAUCCCCUGUUCAAUCCCACAGCCCCGAGGGAGGGACAGCCACCGCCCGGCUCCUCCGGGAGCAGAGGGGGAAGGGAUGAAGGAACUGCUCCAAGGUCACCUGGGCAGGUGCCCCAACACCCAGCCCGGAGCCCCCAGCAGCCCCGGGAAGAGCCCCGGGAAGAGCCCCGGGCUGCGGGAAUUCCCGACGGACACGAGCGCACCCGGAAUUCUGGGGGACGGACACGGAAACCCCAAAAUGCUGCGUGGAACUGGGGCCUGCCAGGACCCCCCGGCCCGGGAAGGGCGUGGGAGGGUCCAUCCCCACCCAACCAGCCCGGAUCCCGGAAUUCCCGGAGCCCCCGGAGCGAGGGAUGGCACCAGCAGAGCCCCUCAGAGCCCACACAGGUACGGCCUGGACCCCCUUAAUUAACCGGGGCUUGUUCAUUUAAUUAAGGUAAUUAACUAACAGCUAA